rnacentral:rRNA from 1 species
UACGGAGGGUGCAAGCGUUAUCCGGGUUCACUGGGUUUAAAGGGUGCGUAGGUGGGUUGGUAAGUCAGUGGUGAAAUCUCCGAGCUUAACUUGGAAACUGCCAUUGAUACUAUCAGUCUUGAAUAUUGUGGAGGUCAGCGGAAUAUGUCAUGUAGCGGUGAAAUGCUUAGAUAUGGCAUAGAACACCAAUUGCGAAGGCAGCUGGCUACACAUAUAUUGACACUGAGGCACGAAAGCGUGGGGAUCAAACAGG